rnacentral:rRNA from 1 species
UCAGACGAUGCGUCAUGCAUAUCAAUAAGCGGAGGAAAAGAAACUAACAAGGAUUCCCUUAGUAACGGCGAGUGAAGCGGGAAGAGCUCAAAUUUGAAAUCUUAAAGGGUUUCCCUUUACGAAUUGUAGUUUAAAGAAGUGUUUUCUGUUAGAGUUUCGGUAAAAGUUCUUUGGAAUAGGACAUCAUAAAGGGUGAGAAUCCCGUAUUUGACCGUUAUUUCUAGCUUUGUGAUACACUUUCAAAGAGUCGGAUUGUUUGGGAAUGCAGUCCAAAAUGGGUGGUAAAUUUCAUCUAAAGCUAAAUAUUGGCGAGAGACCGAUAGCGAACAAGUACCGUGAGGGAAAGAUGAAAAGAACUUUGAAAAGAGAGUUAAACAGUACGUGAAAUUGUCAAAAGGGAAGCGUUUGACACCAGUGUUGUUUUCUCGAAAAUCAAUUAAAAAAGGCAGGAUUUUGUGUUGUAUUGACUUUAUCAGCUUUCUGCACUCUUUUCUUGUCUUUUUUUAAUGCACUUUUCGCUUAACAAGUCAACAUCAAUUUCUUUUGUUGUAAAAGGGUCAUUGGAAGGUGGCUUUCUUUUCGGAGAAAGUGUUUAUAGCCUUUGGCCUCUGCAAUCGGAGAGAUUGAGGUCUGCAGCGUAGAUCCUUCGGGGUUAGAUACAUUUGUGCUAAGUUAUAGCCUUUCAUAGACAACUUGUUGACUAUGAUCAGUCAUGUAGCUUACUCGCUUAUGCUAUUUUACCUACGCUUAGGAUGUUGAUCUACAGAGCGAGAGU